GCUCAUUCUAUUGGCAUGUUUACUCAAAUGUGCCUAAUGUGGUGAGAUCCGGCUGGGCGGCGCCUCGGUCUGUCCUGUCGCGGUAGAUCUCGCUGGUGUAGGGUAGAUGUUAACCCACCAUGGCAAUUCAUAGAUGUAGAGACGCACGGGGAGCACAUGAGCAUGGUUUCAGAUCAGGCUCCUGUGACGAACCCCAUCCGGUCCAGAAGCCUCCAGGUCUAGCGUAUCGGCGUGAACGCCAUCUCUUUCAGAAUGUAUGGACUUUCUCGUCGCUUGCCCCGUUGUACAUCAUUGUUCCCUUUUUAAGGAUACAUUCACCUAGUUCCUGUUUUUUAUGGCUUUUGUUCUGUUUGUUUACAGAUUAAGUCUGUCAUUGCCUUUACCAUGUUUCUUAAAGCCUUUGGUGGUCUCCUUUUCAUCAUCAGCAGCUCGUUCGGAGCAGUCAUACUGGUGCGUACUCUUCUUGUGCAUGCACUAUAUCUAGAAUUAUGUUAUGUUAAAGGGGCAUCUAGAUGCAUACUGUUAUGGCUGCCAUUAAAUACAUGUCUUCUCAAACUAUUUAAAAGGAAGUGUUGUUGUCGUGCCAUUUAGGUAGUUUCAAAAGAUAUGAUGUGCUUGGCUGUUAAUGUUUUAGUGUGCGCUUCUCACCUGCUGUAAAAGGCCAAUUCGGGCAUUGUAGCUGCUUCAGUAUUUGAUCUGCAUAUAUUUUGCUUUUGCAAUAUCCUGUUCUAACAUCUGAAAAUGGAAUACUUUAACAAUAUAAUCUUCCUAACUUUUUGCAACUGAUUUUUGUUGUAGUCCAAAAUUAUAUGUUUGUGUUUAUUGCCUUUUUUAGUGUGUUGAUAUUUGAAAGGGGAAUAGGGCAACGUGUUGCACUCUUGCUUUUGUUAGAGCACUAUAUUUUAUUGUUAACCAUGCUAUGGUCCAAACUCCUUUUUAUUCUGCUGAUAUGAUAUUGCUCAUCUUUUGUUUUCUGCUCGAUGCCUCCAGUAUUUAGAGUAGAAAUAUUCUUAACUUAGUGUUUCUUGAACAUGGCCAGGGCAAUGGAUAAAAUCUACUCUAGAUAGUUGGCAGAGGGAGUACAUGCUAAGUUGACUUUUUUCCCGCGGAUUUGCUUAUCGUGAAGAUGCUUGCAAGGAUGCAGAGGGAGCGGAUCAUUUGGAGAGAUAGGAUGCCACUAUUUGGUGUUUUUAUGCAUUUUGGUUUGCUUGUAACUGUGUUUGCACUAGCUGGGAGUAAGUGACUUGGCAAGAAGUGUAGGUGUUUUAAUUGAAGGCAUGAAAAGCCAUGAAAAUAUGUAUGCUCUUAACAGAUGUGCUCUAAUGCUGCUGGUUUAUUAUAAAUCUUGGAUCAGUACUGAUGUGUAAUGCUGCUUGUUUAUUGCAAAUAUGUGUUUGUUUUAGUUGGAAUUGUAUGCAUAGAAUGUAAU
rnacentral:lncRNA from 1 species